rnacentral:rRNA from 2 species
UCAACAACGGAUCUCUUGGCUCUCGCAUCGAUGAAGAACGCAGCGAAAUGCGAUAAGUAAUGUGAAUUGCAGAAUUCAGUGAAUCAUCGAAUCUUUGAACGCACCUUGCGCUCCUUGGUAUUCCGAGGAGCAUGCCUGUUUGAGUGUCA